ACGCGAAAGCCCCUUCGGGGGUAAGUAGAGUGGCGUCCGGGUGAGUAACACGUAGGUAAUCUACCUCUGGGUGGGGAAUAACGUCUCGAAAGAGACGCUAAUACCGCAUAAUGCAGCGGCACCUAAUGGUGAAUAGUUGUUAAAGCGGGGGACCUUCGGGCCUCGCGCCUGGAGAGGAGCCUGCGGCAGAUUAGCUUGUUGGUGAGGUAAUGGCUCACCAAGGCAACGAUCUGUAGCUGGUCUGAGAGGACGGCCAGCCACACUGGCACUGACACACGGGCCAGACUCCUACGGGAGGCAGCAGUGGGGAAUUUUGGGCAAUGGGCGAAAGCCUGACCCAGCAACGCCGCGUGAGGGAGGAAAUCCUUCGGGAUGUAAACCUCACAAGCAAGGGAAGAGCGCGCAGGGGCGAAUAUCCUCUGCGUCCGACGGUACCUUGCGUAAGCCACGGCUAGCUACGUGCCAGCAGCCGCGGUAAUACGUAGGUGGCAAGCGUUG
rnacentral:rRNA from 1 species